rnacentral:rRNA from 1 species
CCUACGGGAGGCUGCAGUGAGGAAUAUUGGUCAAUGGGCGAGAGCCUGAACCAGCCAAGUCGCGUGCAGGAUGAAGGACCUAUGGUUUGUAAACUUCUUUUAUACGGGAAUAAAGUGAGGAACGUGUUCCUUUUUGUAUGUACCAUAUGAAUAAGCAUCGGCUAAUUCCGUGCCAGCAGCCGCGGUAAUACGGAGGAUGCGAGCGUUAUCCGGAUUUAUUGGGUUUAAAGGGUGCGUAGGUGGUUAAUUAAGUCAGCGGUGAAAGUUUGUGGCUCAACCAGGACAUUGCCGGUGAAACUGGUUGACUUGAGUAUAUUGGAGGUAGGCGGAAUGCGUGGUGUAGCGGUGAAAUGCAUAGAUAUCACGAAGAACUCCGAUUGCGAAGGCAGCUUACAAAACUAUAACUGACGCUGAAGCACGAAAGCGUGGGGAUCAAACAGGAUUAGAUACCCGGGUAGUC